GAUUCCUGAAAGACGUAAAUGGAAUAUGUACGACUUAGGCAUAGAGGAAAAUUUUAAGAAUAUUUUGGUAAGGAACUAAAAAAAAAAAAAAAAAAAGUCUGUUUUCGUUUUUUUAUACCAAUGUACAUAUAUAUAUAUAUAUAUGUACGAACCUGUAGUUAUAUAUCUAUAUGUCCAUGUGCCCAAAUGUUUACAAGUUCACAUGUCUAUAUGUGUUAACAUUUUUUCCCCAUUUGUUGAUUUUAUCUAACAGGGAGAUAAUAUUUUACUUUGGUUUUUUCCUGUUGGCAAACCUAAAGGUGAUGGGUUAUUUUUUAAAACCUCUGGAAAUUUAGGUAACUCUAUUUUUAUUUUUAUUUUUAUUUUUUUUAACUGCAAAUAUUUAAUAGUUUUAUAUUAUUCAUGCGUAUGAGUUGAAGAAAAACAUAAUAGAAUCUAUAUGUUUGUAUAUGCGUUUUUUUUUUGUUUUUGUUUUUUUUUUUUACCUUGUUUUUUAUUUAUUUUUAACAUGAUUAUGUAAUUACAUAUGUAUAUAUUUAUUCUUAUGCGUGUUAUACUAUUAUGUUUAAACGUGUACAGAUGAAUAAACCUAAAUAGGAAUAAGAUUAGGAUUAAUGCUAUAUCUUUUCACAUUUUUACCCCCUUUUAUUUUUUUAUAUUUUUUUUUUCUAGCUUUAAAUNNNNNNNNNNUUUUUUUUUUUUUUUUUUGGUAGAUUCCUGAAAGACGUAAAUGGAAUAUGUACGACUUAGGCAUAGAGGAAAAUUUUAAGAAUAUUUUGGGAGAUAAUAUUUUACUUUGGUUUUUUCCUGUUGGCAAACCUAAAGGUGAUGGGUUAUUUUUUAAAACCUCUGGAAAUUUAGGUAACUCUAUUUUUAUUUUUAUUUUUAUUUUUUUUAACUGCAAAUAUUUAAUAGUUUUAUAUUAUUCAUGCGUAUGAGUUGAAGAAAAACAUAAUAGAAU
rnacentral:lncRNA from 1 species